rnacentral:rRNA from 1 species
AUGGCCACCGGCGGCGACGGCUGCGGCGGCGGGGAGCCGGCGGCGCCCGGCGGCGGCGACCUGUACGCCGUGCUGGGGCUCAGCAAGGAGUGCUCCGACGCCGACCUCAAGCUCGCCUACCGGAAGCUGGCCAUGAGAUGGCAUCCGGACAGAUGCUCGUCCUCCAGCGGCACCAAGCGGAUGGAGGAGGCCAAGGAGAAGUUCCAGGAGAUCCAGGGCGCCUAUUCCGUCCUCUCCGACGCCAACAAGCGGUUCCUCUACGACGUGGGGGUGUACCAAGAAGAAGAAGACAGCGACGACAGCGGGAUGGGGGACUUCCUUGGUGAGAUGGCCCAUAUGAUGAGCCAGACACGGCCAGCGAGGCAGGAGAGCUUUGAGGAGCUGCAGCAGCUGUUUGUGGACAUGUUUCAGUCUGAUAUUGACUCGGGGUUUUGCAAUAGACCUGCCAAGGGCCAUCAUGACCCGUUCCAAACAUUCUCGACCUCCCCUUCCUCGUCGCCAUCUCCACCACCUCCAGUAGCUACAGAGGCAGAAGCAGCCUCAUGUAACGGCAUUAACAAGCGUGGCUCAUCAGCAAUGGGCUCUGGGAAGCCUCCAAGAGCUGGGGAAGCGGGUGCGGGUUACGGCCAGCCUGAGUUUUGUUUUGGGACGAGCGACGCCAAGCAAGCGCCAAAGGCGCGAGGCAGGAACACCAGCAGGAGACGGAACGGGCAAAAGCAGAAGCUGUCGUCGAAGCACGACGUCUCGUCCGAGGACGAGAUGCUGAGCCCGCAGCAGCCCAGAGUAGCAUGA